UACGGGGGGGGCAAGCGUUGUUCGGAAUUACUGGGCGUAAAGCGCGUGUAGGCGGCUUGGUAAGUCGGGUGUGAAAUCCCUCAGCUCAACUGAGGAAGUGCGCCCGAAACUUCUUUGCUUGAGUGCUGGAGAGGGUCGCGGAAUUCCCGAAGUAGAGGUGAAAUUCGUAGAUAUCGGGAGGAACACCGGUGGCGAAGGCGGCGACCUGGACAGUAACUGACGCUGAGACGCGAAAGCGUGGGUAGCAAACAGG
rnacentral:rRNA from 1 species